rnacentral:rRNA from 1 species
UGGGGAAUCUUGCGCAAUGGGCGAAAGCCUGACGCAGCGACGCCGCGUGGGUGAUGAAGGCCUUCGGGUUGUAAAGCCCUGUGGAGGGGGACGAAUAAGUCGUGGCUAAUAUCCACGAUGAUGACGGUACCCCUUUAGCAAGCACCGGCUAACUCUGUGCCAGCAGCCGCGGUAAGACAGAGGGUGCAAACGUUGUUCGGAAUUACUGGGCGUAAAGCGCGUGUAGGCGGCAAGGCAAGUCGGGUGUGAAAGCCCUGGGCUCAACCCAGGAAGUGCAUUCGAUACUGCCAAGCUAGAGUCCCGGAGAGGAUGGUGGAACUCUCGGUGUAGAGGUGAAAUUCGUAGAUAUCGAGAAGAACACCGGUGGCGAAGGCGGCCAUCUGGACGGUGACUGACGCUGAGACGCGAAAGCGUGGGGAGCAAACAGG